rnacentral:rRNA from 1 species
UAGGGAAUCUUCGGCAAUGGACGAAAGUCUGACCGAGCAACGCCGCGUGAGUGAAGAAGGUUUUCGGAUCGUAAAACUCUGUUGUUAGAGAAGAACAAGGACGUUAGUAACUGAACGUCCCCUGACGGUAUCUAACCAGAAAGCCACGGCUAACUACGUGCCAGCAGCCGCGGUAAUACGUAGGUGGCAAGCGUUGUCCGGAUUUAUUGGGCGUAAAGCGAGCGCAGGCGGUUUCUUAAGUCUGAUGUGAAAGCCCCCGGCUCAACCGGGGAGGGUCAUUGGAAACUGGGAGACUUGAGUGCAGAAGGGGAGAGUGGAAUUCCAUGUUUAGCGGUGAAAUGCGUAGUUAUAUGGGGGAACACCAGUGGCGAAGGCGGCUCUUUGGUCUGUAACUGACGCUGAGGCUCGAAAGCGUGGGGGGCAAACAGG